UUUAAGUGGAAGCUUCUGUGGUGUCAUCAUAUUCCUUCACUUAAUUUUUAAUUUCUUCUCUGAAGAGGUUGACUAGGAAAUGUGGGAUUAUGGAAGAUUUUCUGGUUAAGAGGAGUUGUAGGAAAUUUUUUUUUCCUGUUAUUAAAUUUUGGUAGAUAAAGGGAUCAGAAUAUUUGAUUGUUUUAAGGUGAGGUGAUGGUCUAUUCAUGAAUUUAUAUGUGAAAUGGAUGAAAGAAGCAUGUUUUUGGUCUGUGAAGCUGGCAACUAUGUUAUCUAUUUUUAAAUUGUUAUAGAAGUCUUUUUCAAUUACGAGAUUGACUCCUAUAGGAUAUCCUUGUUAGAAAAG
rnacentral:misc_RNA from 1 species